rnacentral:lncRNA from 1 species
AAUUAUGAUCUUUUGCUCUAUCAGGGAGAGGAAAAAAGAAAACAAAGAACAGACCAGUUUUAUGUAGCUGAAGAAGACUAGAUAUCAAGUCUUAUUCGGCUUCUUUCCAACUAUGAAAACUCGGUUGGUCGUCAAAUGGAUGCUUGUUUAUCCUGGUAACCUUUCAUAAUCUAUGAUAUCCUGUCAAAGAGAGGGAUAUAGAAUUUUGCAAGUUCAUUGAUUGCCUUUCCUCAAUUGUUGAAAUCAUCAGUUCAAUUCAUAUAAUCUACAGCAACACGUGCCUCUCAUAGUUUAGUAAGUUCUUCCCAUGUCAUUGGUUUCAGGUAGGCCAUUUAACUUAAGCUGUCAGUUGUUCAUUGAGUUACAUAUGGGAUAUGGAGCUGAAACAAUGUGAAAAUUCC